GAUUCGGUAGCUCAGCUGGGAGAGCACCGUCUUGACAGGGCGGGGGUCGCUGGUUCGAACCCAGUCCGAAUCACCA
rnacentral:tRNA from 1 species